UACGUAGGGUGCAAGCGUUGUCCGGAAUUAUUGGGCGUAAAGAGCUCGUAGGCGGUCUGUCGCGUCUGCUGUGAAAUCCCGAGGCUCAACCUCGGGCCUGCAGUGGGUACGGGCAGACUAGAGUGCGGUAGGGGAGAUUGGAAUUCCUGGUGUAGCGGUGGAAUGCGCAGAUAUCAGGGGGAACACCGAUGGCGAAGGCAGAUCUCUGGGCCGUAACUGACGCUGAGGAGCGAAAGCGUGGGGAGCGAACAGG
rnacentral:rRNA from 1 species